UUGUGCACUCAGUGUAGUCUGGCCUGCAACCAAGUGUGGAUCAAUUCUCUGCUGUGUCUGAUAACUUCUGGCCUAACAAAUAACAAGAAGAAAACACAGCUGCUCCAUCAGCCGGCACCACACCAUCCAUACGUGGAAACAUUGUUCCAGCAAACGGAGAAGAUUUGAAUGCUGUGGAUAAAUUCUCUUAUCUUUCCAUUAUGAGAUUGACACAUUCUUCGCCAGAGCUAGCUCAGUGUUUGGAAAAGCUUGGGAGAUGAGCCGCGAUGCUGAGUACUCAAUACCAAACUGAAGGGCUACGGGGCUGUUGUACUUGCCACGUUGCUCCAUGUCUGUGAAACUUGGACAGUAUACCAGCACCAUGCCAGGAAAUAGAAUCACUUCCAUGUGAACUGUCUGAGGAAGAUGCUGAAGCUCCCAUCAAGUAGGACAAAAUAUCAGACACGGAGGUCCUUUCUCAAAAUAAACUGCCAAACAUCCAAACUACUGCAGAAAGUGUGACUCUGUGGAGCUGAUCACAUUGUUCUGAAUGCCUUAUGGACACUUGGCAAAAAGACUAUUUUAUGGAGAACUCACACAGCGUAAGCCCUUACAAGGUGCUCAGAAAAAGCAAUACAGAGACUCACUCAAGCUUUCUCUUAAAAGCUUUAGAAUUAAUUGUGUGACAUGAAGACACUGGCAUAGGAUCAUCCAGCAUGGUCUGCUCUCAUCAGAGAACUGUGCUCUAUGAGCAAAACAGGAUUGAAUUAGCUCAAAAGAAGCGGAAGAUGCACAAAGUUAGAGAAACUACCCCAAAUAUUCAUAAGGACUAUUUGGGUCUGACCCUUUGGCACAGGAUUCCAAGGUGGUAGUGGUCUGAUCAGCCACAGUUGAACAUACUAACUUGACCUAAAGACAGUAAUGUCAUUUUGUUCCUCUUUGGAAACGAAGGACAAUACCCAUUAUCUCUAACACUUUAAAAUAUUCUCAAGAUCAGUACUAGGGAAAAGAAAUACCCAAGAAAGUCAAAGAAAAUCUAGAGACCUAGCCCAAAUCUAGCUAAUGGAGCCUGUGCUUGACUCUAUAUGCUACCAUCACAACUGACCACUUCAGUAAAUACUACAGCCACAGAUUUAGUGGCCUUGCAGGUCCUCAUGACCCUCUGAAAUUUACAAAAUCACCUGGGCUCAUCCAUCUUGAGGUUCGGUGAAUCUGGAGCUGAACAAAUCAAGGUGAGCUGGUGGUGGUGCAGAGGAUCCAUUUCACAUCAUGAAUAGAACAUGAGAAGCGGCAGGGAAAAGCAGGAGGGGGGAAAGGCCAAGACUAGUUAGAUAACCUGCAUUGUUUCCCUUUGCAGAAAUUUCCUUAUGGAUUGGGGGUUGAACCCAAGAAGGUAGCACUAGAAGGUAGCAACAAAAUACUGCUACCUUCUACUCCACAUUAUAUGUGACUUAAAAACAAAGCAGACUUUGAUGAUCUCUUCUAAUGGAAGCCUGCAACACUAUGAUAUAAACUAAUAGAGAAUCAAAGUGUCCCUGUGGGAUAUUUGAAAAGAGUCAUACCUUCCCUUAGUCUUCUCUCUCUUAUCCGUAUCUCUUGUCUCUGAAUUCAUCAGUGUCCUCCUAGAAUAUAACAUCUUUUAAAAACACCAUUUUCUGGACAGGAUCUCAUCAGCCCAGAGUUGAAUGGGUCUAUUAUCCUUUAUAUGCCCUCUAAAGUCUUAGGGUAUGUUUAGAUCUUUCAAGUAAAAGUGGUACAUCUUUUUCUAUUGAACUGCUGAAAUCCCUCUCCUUUCUGACCCCUCCCCCCUCCAUUAAUAAUAGCAGCAAUAAGGCAAAUUAUGUAGAGGAUGGACUUGAACCCAGGGCUGUCUGGUUGAGACCAGCUGACGUCGCCCCGUACAAAUCUUUCCCAACACACUUUUAGGCAGUAACCGCGAAGGAAGACUCAGAAGAGACCCCUAGACUACAUUUGUCCAUCCGGGCCUCUAAGGUCCUUUUCAGGCUGGGCUCCGCCUUUAGCUUCACAGAAUUGUUAGAUUGCAAGAGACUUGGGAGAUGAUCGAGUAGAAUCUCAUUU